rnacentral:rRNA from 1 species
UGGAGAGUUUGAUCCUGGCUCAGGACGAACGCUGGCGGCGUGCCUAAUACAUGCAAGUCGAGCGGACUGUUCCUUCGGGGACAGUUAGCGGCGGACGGGUGAGUAACACGUAGGCAACCUGCCUGUAAGACCGGGAUAACUAUCGGAAACGAUAGCUAAGAGCGGAU